GAAGGCUGGAGAGAGGUCCAAUGGCGAUAUCUAUUCCGACCAAGUUCAAUCUCCACUCCCUCCCAUCCCUUUGUUCUAUGAAGAGGCGCACUUUAAGGAGUGCGUACUGCGCAACCCUCCCACAAUCCCAAGAACAGUAUUUCAUAAAUGAGGAAGUGAUCCUAAAAUUGCAGUUGCAUUCCCUUCAACUUCACUUACAAACAUCGUUGCAAUUUGGAGCACAGACCCUCAGUGAGAAUGCUUGGAAAUAAGAAUGUGAUUGAUUUUGACUGUAUUGGAUGUAUAUCACAAUUCAAUUUGAUACUGCAACCAAACACUUUACUAUGAGGCAAAUUUGUUCUCUGUUUACUGGAACCGGAGAUUAUUCUUUAGCAGAUGAACUUUGAGAAUUUGUAUAAAUAACUUGAGUUCUAUUUCGUCUUUUAAACCAUUAUAUAGGACCAA